rnacentral:rRNA from 1 species
AUUGAACGCUGGCGGCAGGCUUAACACAUGCAAGUCGAACGAGUGGCGGACGGGUGAGUAAUGUUUGGGAAACUGGCUUAUGGAGGGGGAUAACUACUGGAAACUGUAGCUAAUACCGCGUACCAUAGGAUGAGCCCAAGUGGGAUUAGGUAGUUGGUGAGGUAAUGGCUCACCAAGGCGACGAUCCCUAGCUGGUCUGAGAGGAUGAGCAGCCACACUGGAACUGAGACACGGCCCAGACUCCUACGGGAGGCAGCAGUGGGGAAUAUUGCACAAUGGGCGCAAGCCUGAUGCAGCCAUGCCGCGUGUAUGAAGAAGGCCCUCGGGUUGUAAAGUACUUUCAGUCGGGAGGCGUUACCCGCAGAAGAAGCACCGGCUAACUCCGUGCCAGCAGCCGCGGUAAUUC